CUUCCAGGAAAAGCCUCUAAGCUUCAGAUUGUAAGGAAUCGUACCCCAAACCGACACAGGUGGUCGGGUAGAGAAUACCAAGGCGCUUGAGAGAACUCGGGUGAAGGAACUAGGCAAAAUGGUACCGUAACUUCGGGAGAAGGUACGCUCUUGAUGGUGAAGUCCCUUGCGGAUGGAGCUGACGAGAGUCGCAGAUACCAGGUGGCUGCAACUGUUUAUUAAAAACACAGCACUGUGCAAAAUCGUAAGAUGACGUAUACGGUGUGACGCCUGCCCGGUGCCGGAAGGUUAAUUGAUGGGGUUAGACUUCGGUCGAAGCUCUUGAUCGAAGCCCCGGUAAACGGCGGCCGUAACUAUAACGGUCCUAAGGUAGCGAAAUUCCUUGUCGGGUAAGUUCCGACCUGCACGAAUGGCGUAAUGAUGGCCACGCUGUCUCCACCCGAGACUCAGUGAAAUUGAAAUCGCUGUGAAGAUGCAGUGUACCCGCGGCUAGACGGAAAGACCCCGUGAACCUUUACUACAGCUUGGCACUGAACAUUGACCCUACAUGUGUAGGAUAGGUGGGAGGCUUUGAAGCACGUACGCCAGUAUGUGUGGAGCCGUCCUUGAAAUACCACCCUUGUAGUGUUGAUGUUCUAACGUCGACCCCUUAUCGGGGUUGCGGACAGUGCCUGGUGGGUAGUUUGACUGGGGCGGUCUCCUCCCAAAGAGUAACGGAGGAGCACGAAGGUGGGCUAAUCACGGUUGGACAUCGUGAGGUUAGUGCAAUGGCAUAAGCCCGCUUGACUGCGAGAAUGACAAUUCGAGCAGGUGCGAAAGCAGGUCAUAGUGAUCCGGUGGUUCUGAAUGGAAGGGCCAUCGCUCAACGGAUAAAAGGUACUCCGGGGAUAACAGGCUGAUACCGCCCAAGAGUUCAUAUCGACGGCGGUGUUUGGCACCUCGAUGUCGGCUCAUCACAUCCUGGGGCUGAAGUCGGUCCCAAGGGUAUGGCUGUUCGCCAUUUAAAGUGGUACGCGAGCUGGGUUUAGAACGUCGUGAGACAGUUCGGUCCCUAUCUGCCGUGGGCGUUGGAAGAUUGAAGGGGGCUGCUCCUAGUACGAGAGGACCGGAGUGGACGAACCUCUGGUGUUCGGGUUGUGUCGCCAGACGCAUUGCCCGGUAGCUAAGUUCGGAAUCGAUAACCGCUGAAAGCAUCUAAGCGGGAAGCGAGCCCUGAGAUGAGUCUUCCCUGAUACUUUAAGUAUCCUAAAGGGUUGUCGGAGACUACGACGUUGAUAGGUCAGGUGUGUAAGUGCUGUGAGGCAUUGAGCUAACUGAUACUAAUUGCCCGUGAGGCUUAACCAU
rnacentral:rRNA from 1 species